rnacentral:rRNA from 1 species
GACGAACCGUACAAACGUUAUUCGGAAUCACUGGGCUUAAAGGGUGCGUAGGCUGUCUUGUAAGUUGGGUGUGAAAGCCCUCGGCUCAACCGAGGAAUUGCGCUCAAUACUGCAGGACUUGAGGAAGACAGAGGUGAGCGGAACUUAGGGUGGAGCGGUGAAAUGCGUUGAUAUCCUAAGGAACACCUGGGGCGAAAGCGGCUCACUGGGUCUUUUCUGACGCUGAGGCACGAAAGCUAGGGUAGCGAACGGG